AGGUUUGCUCAGUAGUAGCAUCAUAGCCAAUGAGGUUAAUCUGAGACUUGAUUAUUGCUAAUUGAAAACUUAUCCCAAUUUGG
ensembl:snRNA U4 U4 spliceosomal RNA